rnacentral:misc_RNA from 1 species
UCAAGCCCGACGGCUUCAAGAUCAAGGUGCGGGCGCGUUCGGACAAGGAUCGCACCAUUGUCGCCAAUCGUCCCGGCACCGCGGUCGCUGAUACGUCCGGGACCGCUGCGCCGGCGCGGGUUCGUCCCGGUCACAAUACGCCGCUGCUCAUUCUGUACGGCUCGAAUCUCGGCACCGCGGAAGACCUCGCGCAUCGCGUUGCGGAUCUUGCGGAGGUCAACGGCUUUGCGACCAAGCUCGCGCCGCUCGACGA